rnacentral:rRNA from 1 species
AUACGUACCGGACGAACGUUAUUCGGAAUUACUGGGCUUAAAGAGUGCGUAGGCGGCUUUGUAGGUGAGGUGUGAAAGCCCACGGCUCAACCGUGGAAUUGCGCUUCAAACCACAAGGCUUGAGGGAGACAGGGGUGAGCGGAACUGAUGGUGGAGCGGUGAAAUGCGUUGAUAUCAUCAGGAACACCAGUGGCGAAGGCGGCUCACUGGGUCUCUUCUGACGCUGAGGCACGAAAGCUAGGGUAGCGAACGGGAUUAGAAACCCCAGUAGUCC